UGAUAAUGGCCUUCUGUUUUGCGCACGGGA
rnacentral:piRNA from 1 species